UCUGUUCUUCCCUGAUCAGUCCUCCCAGA
rnacentral:piRNA from 1 species